GGAAAUUCCCUUUGGGAAUUUCACAGUUGGCAGCAGGUCCAUUUUUCCAAAAGUAAUAGAUUUUUGAAAAAUAGAUUUGUGUUUGAGUGAAGUUCAAGAGAGCAUUUAUUAAUUGCUACAGAUCAACAGGUAUUCAGUUUUUCCUAUGUCCCAUCUGGUGCAGGAAUCAUUUCUCGCACUCUAUUUUUUUUAUCUUCUUCUGGCAAGUAAGGUUAUUUCUUUUAAAAUGUAAAACAAAAGGAUUCAGAUUCCAGUUAAGUGAACUGGAGACACUGUAUGAUUUUGUAAUAAAAGAACGCAUGUCACAGGCUCACUCUUAACAAUUGCCUGGAGGAGAUUUCAGUGUUUAAUUGCCUUCCACACUCUCUCCCGAAAAGAACUAUUGCCCCCUCCCCAUUUUCUUUCCUAAAUCAACUUCAUGCGAAUCAGUUUUGCUGCUGUAAAAGUGUUCAUGUACAAAAAGGUCUGUUUGAUCUCCUUUAUAAAUAUAACAGUGGCUUUAAUCAACACCUUGAGAUUUUUCCUCAAGGACUCAUUCCAUAAGAAGGAUAGGAUGUGGAGUUUCUGUUAAAAAUAAUGAGAAUUUCUAUUAUAUCUUGAUGGUAUUUUUAUUUGGGAAAGAGAAAGUAACCUAAAAUAAUUUGGGGACCCUUUCAUCCUCAUCUUUACAUUCGUGCAGUUGGAAAGGGAUGGAGUCCAGGUGGCGCAGAGAUUCAAAAGGGAAUUUGAAAAUGUUUAACCCGCUAGUCACUGUUCUGGCCACAAGCAGCUCUUAGAGUCCUGGUGUCUCCUCGGGUUGGGCAGUGCCCUUGGCUCCGGGAUAUGGGGGG
rnacentral:lncRNA from 1 species